UACAGAGGUCUCGAGCGUUGUUCGGAUUCAUUGGGCGUAAAGGGUGCGUAGGUGGCGUGGUAAGUCUGGUGUGAAAUCCCGGGGCUCAACCCCGGAACUGCACUGGAUACUGCCAUGCUUGAGUACUGGAGAGGAGAUUGGAAUUUACGGUGUAGCAGUGAAAUGCGUAGAUAUCGUAAGGAAGACCAGUGGCGAAGGCGAAUCUCUGGACUGUUACUGACACUGAGGCACGAAGGCCAGGGGAGCAAACGGG
rnacentral:rRNA from 1 species